rnacentral:SRP_RNA from 1 species
GCCAGGCAUUGUGGUGCACGCCUGUAAUCCCAACUACUUGGGAGGCUAAGGCAGGAGAAUCACUUGAACCCAGGAGGUGGAGGUUGCAGUGAGCUGAGAUCAUGCCACUGCACUCCAGCCUGGGUGACAGAGUGAGACCCUGUCUGUC